AGUGAACGCUGGCGGUAGGCCUAACACAUGCAAGUCGAACGGCAGCACAGUAAGAGCUUGCUCUUACGGGUGGCGAGUGGCGGACGGGUGAGGAAUAUAUCGGAAUCUACUUUUUCGUGGGGGAUAACGUAGGGAAACUUACGCUAAUACCGCAUACGACCUACGGGUGAAAGCAGGGGAUCUUCGGCCCUCGCGCGAUUGAAUGAGCCGAUGUCGGAUUAGCUAGUUGGCGGGGUAAAGGCCCACCAAGGCGACGAUCCGUAGCUGGUCUGAGAGGAUGAUCAGCCACACUGGAACUGAGACACGGUCCAGACUCCUACGGGAGGCAGCAGUGGGGAAUAUUGGACAAUGGGCGCAAGCCUGAUCCAGCCAUACCGCGUGUGUGAAGAAGGCCUUCGGGUUGUAAAGCCCUUUUGUUGGGAAAGAAAAGCAGCAGGUUAAUACCCCGCUGUUCUGACGGUACCCAAAGAAUAAGCACCGGCUAACUUCGUG
rnacentral:rRNA from 1 species